AUGAUUCUUGUUACAGUUUUCUAGUUUUAUCACUGUUUCGGAUUGGAAAACUCAAGGAGGCAGAAAUGUGUUUUAGGAGAAUGUUGGCUGGUGGCCUAAAGCCUGAUGGUUUGACCUCAAGCACAAUAAUGAGAUGGCUUUGUCAGCAGAGAAGGAUGCUUGAUGGAUAUCACUUGAUUGAUGCGAUUGAGCAGUCUGCAGGCGUAUCUUCUAUAGAUUCUGAUAUUUAUUCUAUUCAAGCACAAUAAUUAGAUGGCUUUGUCAGCAGAGAAGGAUGCUUGAUGGAUAUCACUUGAUUGAUGCGAUUGAGCAGUCUGCAGGCAUAUCUUCUAUGGAUUCUGAUAUUUAUUCUAUACUUAUGGC
rnacentral:lncRNA from 1 species